rnacentral:rRNA from 1 species
UACGUAGGCAGCGAGCGUUGUUCGGAGUUACUGGGCGUAAAGCGUGCGUAGGCGGUUUUGUAAGUUUGGUGUGAAAUCUCCCGGCUCAACUGGGAGGGUGCGCCGAAAACUGCAAGGCUGGAGUGUGGGAGAGGUAGGCGGAAUUCCUGGUGUAGCGGUGAAAUGCGUAGAGAUGUGGAGGAACACCGAUGGCGAAGGCAGCCCCCUGGGCCGACACUGACGCUCAUGCACGAAAGCGUGGGGAGCAAACAGG